UCGUCAUUUUCACAUUUCAUGUAAAAAGCCUGUGCUUAAACAAACAAACAAACAAACAAACAAAUAGAAACAGCAGCAAAAAAAGAAAAAUGUGUCUGCUGGCCCUUUGAGCAGUAGGGAUGUACAGGUGAUACAACCAAUGCUGAGCUACAUUUGGCAAGACUUAUAGUAGGGACGCUUUACAUAAGACUUCCACUACCUAAAGGGAACCUACAAGAAAGACAAGGAGAGCCUCCUUAUCAGCAAAUGUAAUGAUAGGACAAAGGGUACCAGUUAUACACUAAAAGAAUGUAGGUGUAGGUUAGACUUAGGAAAAAAUUCUUCACUAGGAGAGUGGUGAAGCACCGGCACAGCUUCCCAGGGGAGCUGUGCAUGCCCCAUCACUGGAGGCACUUGAUGCAGGUUGGAUGGGGGCCUGGGAAGCCUGAAUUGGUGUGGGGUAGUCCUGUACACAGCAGAGGGUGGGACUGAGUGAGCUUUAGGGUCCCUUCCAGCACUAUUAUGUGAUUCUUUUAUCCUAUGCUACCAGGCCUGACCCCAUGUAGACUUGGAGCCAAACAUCCUCCAGCUGCAGGAGGCAUGGAUGUGCCUGGCAGAGAGGAAAAACCUCUGACUGGCUUCACUUAUGCCAGGCUAUGAAUAUGGAGUGGUCAUAGCAUGUCCAAUAGAUGUUUCAGAUAUGCUUCUUCCUCUUGACAGGUUUAUAGAAACAAAAGCUACCCAUGACCAAUGUGUGAUGGAAAGCUUCCCAGCUCCUCAUGAAGACAGAGGUAUAAAGACGUGUGUAGGAAAACCAGAUGAAGAUUAAAUCCCUGGAAAGAAAAUGUCAGCAGUCCCUAGAUAUAACCCACUGACCCAUUCCAGUCUCAAUGAAACACCCAAAUCCAGCCUGCCUUUUGGUCAGGAGCAGUGACGCCUGCUAGGCUCAGGAAGCAGAAUCACUCCUCCUCCCCCUGCUCCCUGCCAUGAAAAAGGAAAAAGAAAAAAAAAAGUAAAGAGAAGAGAAGAAAGACAAAAAUUCUAAGUUCAUCUAAACCUAUCAACAUGUGCAGAACGCAUGUCUGUGCCUAUUAAUCACUGCUGGGGAAACACAAAGCCACAGUGCCAUUACGGAAAAGACAACAGAUCAUUCCAAAGCCAUAUGGCCACCACCAUUGAUCCUGACAUCCAGGAAUCAGUGAAUGAUCUUGACUGGUAAGAAUGUAGAACCAGAGCCAAUAUUAUAACUUCACUGCUUCUACAGACUGUGGGGAAACACGUUUUGAGAGUAAUGCAAAGCUGCAACAAAGAGCACAUGGAUAUGCUAUCAGUAUUUGCUAUCAAAGGAUCUCAUCAUAUGGCAUAAUGUGCUUUAAGAGUGAUUACAGUAACUUAAAAAAAAUUGUAUUAGCUCAUUUGUUCCUUAAUAAAUCUGUUUUUUAAGUGAACCCUGAAUGAGUUGGAACAUUAAGUUAUAUGGACAGUCUUCCAAAUCCUUGUACGAGUACACGAUCCCAUUUAUUUAGGUAGGAAUAUUCACACAUAUAUAUGUAUACUAGCACUUAUUAAAUAAAAUAAUUAUCACAUUUUCAAGACUGCUUAUAGUAAAGGCCUUGAAUAUCACAACUGGGUGCAUGACUCAAUAUCUACACUUGGGGCCCUUUAUUGCUGCAGAAACCAGAUUGGGAAUUUCCAACUAGCAUAACAGCCUCUAAAUGUCUUCAUUUUCAUAUACUGUCUCAGAAAGUAGGUGGUCUCUGACAUGGUCUUUAAGUGCAGUGGGCCAGAUAUUCAGCUGGUAUUAAUUGUCACUCCUUUGUCUUUGAGAGCAUCAUGCCAAUUUAACCCAGGAUAGGAUCUGGCUCAGCAUGGUCCUUUCCACACUGUCUGCUUAAUCUGUCUAAAUCUACGUUAAUCUAGAGUAGUUUUCAGUAUCAUUUAAAAGUACCUCAAGGAAUAAACUUCUUUCCAAUGAUAAAAUAACAUCCAGAGAUAUUUUCUUACAAAAUAGGCUUUAAAAAUCUGAUCUCCCACACUGCAGAAGCAUCCCACAGUCUUCAGUUCUUGGCUGGCACAUAAAGACAGUCUAAAUUUCAAGAAUGCAAGACAGCAGCAGCCACUCUGUUUUGGGGAAACACAUAGUGAAGAUGUAUGGACAUAACCCUUGCAGUGACUAUGGUCUUCAGGACUAGUGAAGUGUCCCUGACAUCCUUCAUGUAAUAGGGAAGAUGUAGCCCCUCAUUUUCAUGUAUUAGAGAAAUUUUGCUUUGCAUAAAAUACUGAAAUAGUCAAAGGAGCUGUGUUUGAAGGCAAACCUUUCCUUCCCAUACCUGGCUGCAGUGAGGGGAAGUGGUGCCCAAACACUGACCUCCUGGAUUGCACUCAGGCAUCCUUAUCCCAUGCCCUGACACAGGGGCACCGUGGUGAAGCUGAAGCAGGGCAGAAGAGCUCCAGCCAUGGACUUCUGGGGACUUCUAGUUCAGGCCCUGCUUGGGCCAUGUUAGCCCUGGCAGGGCACAUGCAGCUGUGACCAUGCUGUUUCCUACUUUGGAAAAACAUCAGCCUAUGUUUGUGCUGCUAGUGAAGCCUACAAGUGCCCAAACAGAAAAGGUAGGUACCACUGCUGCUGCCAGUUGUGUGAGCAGGGAGUGCUUUGCGCUACACAGUUCAAAUGGGUUGUCUCUGUAUCCCAGAGGCAGGAACUAUGCAUGUGCACCCUUCAGCUGGCUAUCAGGCAAGAAUGCAUGAAAAUUAAACAAAUUACUGGCUAUUACAAGAAACAUAUUUCACUAAUUGGCUUCUGAGGGCAACAUUUUAUUGGGCAACAGCUAUCAAUAGGCAAAGUGUGGCACUUGUUUAAUACUGGAGCUUUAUUCUAGCCUAAGGGAAAGGAAAGACUAAAGGAUCAAGGAGACAAAUGAAAAACAAACACAGAAAGCUGCAAAGUUAAAAACACUGAGGAGAGGAAGCCACAAGGGAACAGGAUUAGAUUUCAGAGUCUCCAUAAGUGAGCACUAGGAUCUUUCUUGUAAAUUAAUUCCACACUUAAUUUUUGGAAUUCUUUCUUACUUUGCUAGACUCCAGCCAAAACUAAGUCAGAUGAAAUGUUAUAAGAGACUGGCAUCCUGGGAUGUAGUGGUAAACUAGUUUACUUUCACAGUUUCCUUUCAUAUGUAGAUUAAGCGCUGCAUUUUCUUUUGUCAUUGCUUGCAAAGAUCUGAGUUUCCUUCCUAAGGCAUCAUCUUUUAUUAAUCAGCUUAUCCACAACAGAGUCCAAAGAGACUGGAAAUGGGUUCAGACAGAUGUUGAUAAAUGUCUUAAGUUUCUUAUAAACUAAAUCAAGGCCAACCAUGUUUUAUUAAUAAGCUAACCUUCAAACAUAUUUUGCCCUCUGUAUACUGUAUCACACUUUAUAUGCCAUCCUGUUUACACUGCUUGCCCCAGUUUUACUGAAUGCUGUUAACAUCCUUUACUUAAGAAGGCAAACCCCUAUGUAUAUGUACAACGCUGUCGUAAAGUGUAAAUGUUAUCAUCUGCAAAACUACAUGCUAUGUACCAGGUGUGGUAAGAAAGGGCUUAUUCCUUUAUUGCUCCAUCUCCUUUCCUCUAAUGCUCCUGACCAAACGUACUCAACCAGCAUGCAGCUUAGCUGAUACUAUUGCCAUGCCAUGGAAAAUAGACUUCUGCUGUGUCCUUGAAGAUUUUCCCCCUCGCAAGCAACACUGCUGUGGGGCGGAUGCUAGAUCACUCUAUCCUACUUCUAAGCGCUCGUUCCCAGCUGAGAAAAAUGAGAAAACAACAGACUGUUCCAGCCAAGAAGAAAGACAACAUUCAGUUUCUUUGGACCCAGAUCCUUCAGCUAUUGCCAAGCAUGAAGAGGGCAUCUGAACACGUGUUUUUGUUCUAUAGAACAUCCUUCACAUAAAUUAUAAGCAUUUUGAGUAAUGCUUCUAUAAAAUAACUGUAUGAAUCCAUAAAUAAGUGGGAGAGUUCUGUGACUGGGUUGAUCUGUGAAAUCAGAGGACCUAAAUAGUAUUUCCAAUGAAAGAUUCAAUGAUGAGAACAGAUGACAGCCUGAGGUAAAUGUUUGGUGGGGUGGAGAGGGGUUGGGCAGUGCUCUCUGACUUGGACUGUUAGGGAAAUGUUGAUCCGGGUGGCUACUACUGACAAGAACCAUGAAUGUGACUGGUGAGAUAUACAGGUCAUUUUUUUAACCUGUCUCUAGAAGCGAGCAUUUCAAAGGCAUGGCAAUGUUACCGAAAGAAGCAUUACAGCAAUUACAGACACAUGGUGUCCUGCAAUAUGCCUUACAGUAUGAUAUCUAUGGGGGGGGGGGAGGGUCGUCAUGCUCAUCAAGGUCAGCUGUGGGACAUUUUGCAGGAUCAGCCUUGAUUGGAAAGGUAAGGCACUAAGGCAAAAGCAUCUAUAGUGAGAGGCCCUCUUGCAAAUACAGCUCUGGUGAAUGAAGCCGAGAACAGGAUGUUCACACAGACACAAAAUCCCAAGUAACAUGUAUCAUGAAAC